CUCCCUGUUGGGACCUCAGCUAAUAAAGAAACAUGUAAUCUUCAAGUGUGGUUGGAACAGAUACACACAGGGCUGUAUGGCAGCACUUUGCCAUACUUUUCAAAAGCAGCAUGGGGGAGUGGAUAAGAAGACCUGAGGUACGUGACUUGGUAAAGACCAGCUUGUACCAGACACCAAACAAACAGCCUCCCUUAGUAGUUGUCUCUUCUGCAGCUCUCCAAAUUUCUUAGAAGCCUCUUUGUUCCUCCUGCCUCUUCAAGCAAGAGCAACAGAUGUUUCCUGUCUGUUUCUGGAUAGCAGAGAGCUCUGGGGUAGAAAUGGUCAAAACUUUGUUCUGUCGUGCUUAUGAGUGAGACAGCGUGUGAAAAAACAAACUGAGGACCCUGUUCUUGAAUGCCGAACAUGUAAAAAGGGGGCAGAAUUAACUGGCCUGAUGUCACUUCAAGGGAUCUUUACAUCUGGGAAUGUUAAGAUCCCUGUUUCUUGAAGCCUGGAAGUUUUGUAUGUGCUAAGGAAUUAAAAUGGAAAGGUCCAAGAUAAGCUACAAACAAGUACCUGAGCUAGGAGUACAUACUUUUCUGUCUUCAGCCAGGAUUACAGAUAUUUGCCUUCAGAAUUCAGCCGCAAAAUCUGGAAACAUUUCUGAACCAAUUUGUGCAUCCUUUAGGCCCCAGGUGCUUCUUUCCAUGUGCAAGCAUUUGAGAGUCCCCUGGUCCUGUAAUGAGGUGUAUCAGCUCGUGACUUUGUCGCAUGUCCUGUCACAGAACAGACACAAUAUGCAGACUAUGAAUUGACUCUUCAUAUGUGAACAGCUGGAGUGCAAGGCCUCAUCACAGAGUUACAUGAAGACCGUGACACGAAAUUCCUCUGGAAAAACGAAGAUGCAGAGGAAGACAUAAUAUCAGAAGACGAAGAGACUGACCAAUUUAUUUGUUGCUUAGCACAUUAGAUUGCUACUGAAACUUUUCAACACUGAACAUUUCACUGAUUCCCUUUUCUCUGCCAUCUGUCUGAUCUGGCCUCUUUCCAAAUAAUGCUGCUUUCCCAGUGGAUGUGGUUGUCCUGGUACAAGAGUUUUCAGUCAGGUGUUUAAACCAUCAUCACUCCAAAUGCCAGUUGGAAGGAGGACAAUUACUGCCAGUGAUUGCCAUCUUACUGCCUCUGCAAACCUAGUGUGUGCAGGAAAUGCAGCACAUAUGGCACUUGGAAUCACCUGGAGCUAGGCCUCUCUGUUGCACCUUGGCAUAGGAGAGCAAGAACAAAGCAGAGAUGAAGAUUGUAAGCCUUAGUGGCCUGGUGUCUGGGGCAUCUUCACUAUCACAGGCUCAUAUUGUACAAUUACAUGAUUAACUGGGAUCUUAAGUUUAGAAAUAGAGAAGUGCCAAGAUUUCAAACUUAUGAGCAUAAUUAUAUGUAUUUUUAGAAACUGAAAUGAGCUUAUGCAGAGAUUUUCAAAAUAGACCUAGAAGAAGGAACAGAAAAUGUCCAGCAAAGUGUAUGCAUUCAGAAGUUCUAAGAACACUUUUUAUAUUUAAAAGACAACAAUUACUUGGAACCCUAGGAAAGGCGGCAGCUGCUACCCAGUGGAACUUUUCUUAUGCACUAAUAAAAUUUCUGACAUGUUGGUGCAUAUUGGUAUAAUAUAUUUAAGCUGUAUACACAAUUAAAUAUAAUUUUAUGUCUUGUAUUUUUAAAAAAGUAGUGGGCUUAGGAACAUAGUGUAGUCUAUGAUGCAUUAAUUGUCAGAAAAACAAUGUGAAUGUUCACUUGAGACAAGGAAAGCAGGAAUAUUCUGGUUGUAAUUAGCAGUUUUUGGGGAGAAGGACUCUGCUUUUCAAAUUGGAUUUUUUUGCAGUAGCUCAAAUUUGAGUAAUGAAAAUUAUCCCAUUAUUGUAUUGUGGCUGCUUGAAAAAAGUGGCUUUAGUACAGUGGAAUCGGUUUCAAAGUUACCUGGAAAGAACAUUUAACUAUAAGCACGUGAAUCAAGCUGUCUCUCCCUGUGCAGACUGAUUUUUAACAGCCACAGGUUCUGAGCUCUACACAGAAUGCUUCAGACCAAAAGCUCUACAGCUGUUUUAGUCCUUUUUCUCAUCAGCUUAUAUAUGCUAUGACCAUGUAAGGUUUUUGGAUCAAAGCUGAAUUGCAUUUGACUGCCCUGAA